ensembl:lncRNA
CGGCCGCGUGCCUACCUUCCUCUGACAGCUGAGUUAACUCCCUCUGCACCGCGGCUCAUUGAAGGAGCCCUUUCAGGUGGCCCAGGGUGCUCUUGUUGGACGCAAAUAGGACCCAAACUGACAGGAAAGACUGUCACCCCUACUCUCUGCCACAUUUUUGUCUAUCCGGGCUCCGUUUUCUCCAGCGGUAUCGCUAAGUCUCUUAAAUUUGGGGGACAAAGAUGCUGAAGCAGGAGAGCUGUUGAUCAGAUUAACUUUACACUGCAUGCUCUUUGCACGCACGCUCUUAAGGGGUAUCUUGACCCUGUUAAGGAUGCCUCUUCUUGCUCUUGUGAUGUGCUUUCAAAGUGUCGGUAUUUGACCGAAUUCUCUCUUCAGCCCUUACUGGUUUUUCUCAGUAGCUUGCCCAACAUGGUGGCGCAAGCCUGUAAUCAUCCCACACUUGGGAGGCUGAGGCAGAAGGAUCACCAUGAGCUCGAGGCCAGCCUGCGUAACAGAGUAAGAUACUGCCUCCAGUUAAUAAUUAUCAUAAGUAAAAGCCUCAUCUCCAGUAAUCUUAUGCUCACCAUAAACCUCAGGUGGUCUCUACUUACAACCCACACCAUCUGGAAGCCCCUUGGUAAUUUCAAGCUAUCUAAUCCGCACUUUCAGCUGUCUCCCACAGACAUUAAAAGUUUCACAGUCAGCCAUUGAUCCUGUUCCUGCCUCAUUCUCUGAUUUUUCAGGAGCCAUUGAGAGUUCCUGAGCACUGGAGCACUGGGUGCCUUCAGAACCAAGCAGCUUUCCAAGCAACAGCCCCUUUGAAGUUCGUCUCAGCUGCCCAAUCCCAUAAUUCACUGGAUGGCAUGUAAGUGGUUCAGCUCAUCUUUUCACCUCGUUGGUAUAUCCCUGCACACCCACA